UACGUAGGGCGCAAGCGUUGUCCGGAAUUAUUGGGCGUAAAGAGCUUGUAGGCGGUUUGUCGCGUCUGCUGUGAAAUUUCGGGGCUCAACCCCGAACUUGCAGUGGGUACGGGCAGACUAGAGUGUGGUAGGGGAGACUGGAAUUCCUGGUGUAGCGGUGAAAUGCGCAGAUAUCAGGAGGAACACCGAUGGCGAAGGCAGGUCACUGGGCCGCAACUGACGCUGAGGAGCGAAAGCAUGGGGAGCGAACAGG
rnacentral:rRNA from 1 species